AUUACGCUCUUUAGGAAAUAAUAAAUUGCAGACACUUCGAAACACUAUUCCCUAAUAUGGUGUUGUUUAAGCUUGGCUUCAGUUUCAUUGUUCUUCUCAUGGCAACCACAAUGAACGCGCUAUGGUUCUCGAAGACGAAUGUACUGGCAUGGAAUGUUGAGCAUGAUUUCUCAAGAGUUGAAAGAUGUCUACUCCCUCAACUUAAUGGCAUUCUAACUUGUGAGAGAGAUUGUCAAACCAACGAUGACUGCAAUGAUUGUUGGAUUUGUUGCAAGUGUAAUCGGUUCCGUCGUUGCAACAUGGUUGCUGGGUAAAGUAUGUGCAAAUUGCACAUUAUUGUUCAAAUGCGACGAACUCUACUACUAUUUCCAAUUACUAUUUUACCUUUUCGUGUAAUUUCAGUUUUUUUUCUUUAUUCAUUUCAAUGUUUCCUUGUCUUUUAGAUUUGUACGAAUAAAGAAGAAAGUUACGUGAAUGACUUUCUAUUUGGAAAUGUGAAAGGAUUAACCGCCGUGGUGAAUUUUAGUACUUUGUAUCUGUUUAUAAUUUUCAUGCAUUUACCAAUUCAUUU